UGACUUGCUUUGGAAACUGGUGAAAUGUACCCAAACCGUUUUCUCUGCCACAAUUUAUACUCUCUUAAUAAAUACGAUGAAAGCCAGUUCUCACAGAUGACAUUUUCCAUAACUUCAUGUCUUCCUCUCUCGAUGCCUCGAGGCUUUUAAUUUUGCUCUUCAGUGUUUUUUUUUUCUUCUUUGUUCCCCUUGCAGAGUCAUGUGUAUCAUCUGCACUGUCAUGUUUAAUAUACUGCUAACUUCUGAACUCAGCCCCCAUGUUCCCGCGCUGAGAGAAUUAUUAUGUUUGUCUGUGUUUGGACUGUUUUGUGUGUGCGCGCAUCUGCGUCAGGUUGUGUGUACAUUAGUGCUAUGACACACUGCAACAAGGGUGACCUGCCUGUGCCACUCUGUACGUGCACGUCUGGCCCACUGUGGCUUUUGAGUGCUUUGUUUAUCUACCAAUAAUCCAGCCUCAAUCAGAAUCCAUAAAUCCCUUUCAACAAUGGGGUAUGAAAUACCAGGUGAAUAGGCUUUGAAGUGCGCCUCUCCUAUGCUUUUCUGGAAAUGGAAGUUUUGUUUACACCAGCCCUCCGUCAGAAGAGAGGGAAAAUGCAGCAGGAGCCUGU